ACGGUAGUCUCCCCUCCCUCCCAAACAACCCAGAUAUUUUUUUCGGGCUGACCCUUUAUUUAAGAAAGCUAUUAAAAUAGUUUAAAUGACCAAUGAGCAUGGCUAUUUGGGUUGAUUGGCAGUUGCCAUUCUUUAGAAUUAUUGUUUUGAUUGACAGGCAGGCCGUUGUCAAGGAGAAGGGCGAGUCUCGCGGCGUCUCCAGGGGAAGCCCCCUCUCUCCCUGCUGCAUUACUUUCAACCAGCUCUGCUUUCAACAGCUUCAUCACUGCGAUGGAUUAUUUAAUUUUGGUACACUUUCCCCACAAAUAUGCUUUGUUGUACUUUUGGAUGUACUUCUCCGUAUUCUGUAAGGACCUCUGCGGUUUUGGCAAUACAACAAACCACACUUCACCUGGAAAACACAGCCAGGACUCACUGUCAGAUGUCUGAAAAUGUACAGUACACGCCAGCAGGUCUCACCAUAGUCAACAUCAUUAAGGAUUUGGCUCUCUGACCUGAGAAGAGGCCCCAUAAACACACCUGACAAGGACCAGCCACUGUUGCCAGUGCACAACUGAGGACCUGACCAGCCUGCUGCCAUCUAUGAUACUAUAUAGUACCCGCGGAGGUGUCUGAAGACGUGGAGUACACUGCAGCAGGUAUCACAUGAACA